AGGGAAUAUUGCGCAAUGGGGGAAACCCUGACGCAGCAGCGCCGCGUGAAGGAAGAAGGUUUUCGGAUCGUAAACUUCUUUGAUGAGGGACGAAUAAAUGACGGUACCUCAAAAACAAGCCACGGCUAACUACGUGCCAGCAGCCGCGGUAAUACGUAGGUGGCGAGCGUUGUCCGGAAUUACUGGGUGUAAAGGGCGCGUAGGCGGGGAUGCAAGUCAGAUGUGAAAUACUGAGGCUUAACCUCAGGGCUGCAACUGAAACUGCGUUUCUUGAGUGUCGGAGAGGAAAGUGGAAUUCCUAGUGUAGCGGUGAAAUGCGUAGAUAUUAGGAGGAACACCAGUGGCGAAGGCGACUUUCUGGACGAUAACUGACGCUGAGGCGCGAAAGCGUGGGGAGCAAAC
rnacentral:rRNA from 1 species